rnacentral:lncRNA from 1 species
AAAAUUUUGACAGUCACAAUGUAUCAAUGCAUAUUGACUCUAUUAAUACAAUUUUCCUGUUUGCUUUGACCUUUAUUUUUCUUUACUCAAUUGAACAGAUAUUUUUGAGUGCUUACAUUGUGCUCGGAAGUGUAGGAGAUAAAAAAUGAAACAUAAAUCCUGCCCUCUGGGUUUAGGCGUAUACAAGUACAAUGUGCUGUGUAAGAAUUCAGAACUUUGGGUACUUUAUCUCACUUCCUUUUCAGCCAACCCACAUCAACCAGCAGGGAAAAUCACAGAUUCAAAAAUGAUUGCACCUGAUUACUCUGAUUUGAUCUUUAUAAUCACACUCAAGGAGAUGAAAGUGAAGCUCAAGAUGUUAAGUGAUAAGCUGAGAUGACAGAAUACGAG